UGGUGGAGUGAUUUGUCUGGUUAAUUCCGUUAACGAACGAGACCCCUGCCUGCUAAAUAGUCCGGUGAGUGAAUUUCACUGAUUGGGACUUCUUAGAGGGACGUGCAUUCUAUUAGAUGCAGGAAGAUAGGGGCAAUAACA
rnacentral:rRNA from 1 species